rnacentral:lncRNA from 1 species
GAUAUUGUUUGUCAACAGUUUGAUUAAUGUUUAUUAUGUGGUUAGUCGUAUUCCCUCACUAGAGAAGGAGUUCCUACUAUUAAUCAAAAUGGACAACGUAGCUAUGGAUUCCUAGUCUAUCAAUUCAGUUUUUAUUUCUUGCCACGUAGAGCACCUCCGUUACCUCGGAAACAGUGGUUUUUUAUUUUGAGACAGUCAUCAUACCAAGGAGACGUGACGACAAGCCAAUCCACAAUUCUCACCCGGAAAUGACGUCAUACUAUCUCCUCCCCAUCCUCAACAUGGGUACAACCAUUUGGAAAAACUUUCGAUCUAUUGUUAAAAAGUGAGGACGUUGCCAACCCAUACCUAAACCACUUCUGGUAAGAAUCGCUGAAGGUUUUUUUUUUUU